AGUCUCUUCCUCCGUGCUCACAGGCACAGCAGAAGUUAGAGUAUUUUCUCUUAGCCAACACAUUGAUUCGCUAAGUGAAUUCUCUACCUUCGGUUGUGUUGAUUGAGGCAUUCUUUGAAAUUGA
rnacentral:precursor_RNA from 14 species